CAAGCAGAGAGGAGUGUGGGGGGGUUUGCCAAUAGGGGGAGGCAGUGAGAGAGCUUCAGCCCUGCUCUGUGUGUGCGUGUGUGUUAUGUGUGUGUGUGUGUGUGUGUGUGUGUGUGUGUGUGUGUGUAGUUGCUCUGUCCUCUAGCUGAGUUGCAGCUUCAGUACCAGUGAGGAGGAGCGCAGAGCUGAGCGCGAGCCGCUUCAUGGUGCUGCCUGACUCCGUUCUCUCCGCGCUUUUCGCCCAGACCGACCCAAACGGAUAUUUAUCCCGGAUUUCACCGCACGAGAAGGUCCAUCCAUGUCCCUCACCGUGGGCCGGGGUUCGCUUCUGCUCUUCCUGCUGCUGUCAGCCCUGCAGGCUGGCACUGAUGGCAGAGGCACCCCGCUGUGCAGGCCGGGAUUCGCUGAAGAUGUGUACGACGCUCCGCUGCCCGAGAAACUACCGGAGGGACAGCCGCUGCUCACCGGUAAAGACGUUUACCUUGGCCUGUUCUGUGUUUGAGUGUGUGUGUGUAGGCCUGUCAUGCUAAAAAAAAAUUACAAAUGCUAUUUAGUCCCAAAAAUGAUUGAGAUAAACGAUAUUGUUGGCAUUUUUAGACCACUAAUUUGGCACUAUUAAAAUGAUAACAUAAUAUUAUAACAAAGCUGCCCGACAGCAUGACGUUCAGCCCCGGUCUGUUCAAGCUGGCUCGCGUUGAACCGGCAUAAAGACCCUGCCUUAGCCUUUGAGAGAUAAUGAAUAUCUGAUGGUGAAUAAAAGUUAAGCAACUAGAGCCGUCCUGGGCCUU
rnacentral:lncRNA from 1 species